rfam:Syntrophomonas wolfei subsp. wolfei str. Goettingen, complete genome.
AAGCGUAAUUAACUCCGACUCACACCAGCCUAAGGUAAUGGCUAUGGCGGUUGAGCGAUUGGGUAUGGAGGGAAACCUCUGUGCCUCCCGUUUGGAAAGGAGUAAGAUUAAGUGUAGU